rnacentral:rRNA from 1 species
GCAAGUCGAACGGAAACGAUGGAAGCUUGCUUCCAGGCGUCGAGUGGCGGACGGGUGAGUAAUACUUAGGAAUCUGCCCAGUAGUGGGGGACAACUCGAGGAAACUCGAGCUAAUACCGCAUACGCACUACGGUGGAAAGUGGGGGAUCUUCGGACCUCGCGCUAAUGGAUGAGCCUAAGUCGGAUUAGCUUGUUGGUGAGGUAAUGGCUCACCAAGGCGACGAUCCGUAGCUGGUCUGAGAGGACGACC